GCGCUGAUUGUGUGAUGACCUGACUUUUUUCCCCAUCAGAUCGUCCAUGUUGAUUUGAUGCUUUCUAAGCCAGUUAUGUCUGACAUCAGUGC
rnacentral:snoRNA from 1 species